UACAGAGGGUGCAAGCGUUAAUCGGAAUUACUGGGCGUAAAGCGUGCGUAGCCGGUUAUGUAAGUCGGGUGUGAAAGCCCCGGGCUCAACCUGGGAAUGCCAUUCGAGACUGCAUAGCUAGGGUGCGGAAGAGGGAAGCGGAAUUUCCGGUGUAGCGGUGAAAUGCGUAGAUAUCGGAAGGAACACCAGUGGCGAAGGCGGCGCUCUGGACCGAGACUGACGCUGAGGCGCGAAAGCGUGGGGAGCAAACAGG
rnacentral:rRNA from 1 species